UCGUACGCUUCUUUUUCCCCGGAGCUUGCUCCACCGGAAAAAGAAGAGUGGCGAACGGGUGAGUAACACGUGGGUAACCUGCCCAUCAGAAGGGGAUAACACUUGGAAACAGGUGCUAAUACCGUAUAACAAUCGAAACCGCAUGGUUUUGAUUUGAAAGGCGCUUUCGGGUGUCGCUGAUGGAUGGACCCGCGGUGCAUUAGCUAGUUGGUGAGGUAACGGCUCACCAAGGCCACGAUGCAUAGCCGACCUGAGAGGGUGAUCGGCCACAUUGGGACUGAGACACGGCCCAAACUCCUACGGGAGGCAGCAGUAGGGAAUCUUCGGCAAUGGACGAAAGUCUGACCGAGCAACGCCGCGUGAGUGAAGAAGGUUUUCGGAUCGUAAAACUCUGUUGUUAGAGAAGAACAAGGAUGAGAGUAACUGUUCAUCCCUUGACGGUAUCUAACCAGAAAGCCACGGCUAACUACGUGCCAGCAGCCGCGGUAAUACGUAGGUGGCAAGCGUUGUCCGGAUUUAUUGGGCGUAAAGCGAGCGCAGGCGGUUUCUUAAGUCUGAUGUGAAAGCCCCCGGCUCAACCGGGGAGGGUCAUUGGAAACUGGGAGACUUGAGUGCAGAAGAGGAGAGUGGAAUUCCAUGUGUAGCGGUGAAAUGCGUAGAUAUAUGGAGGAACACCAGUGGCGAAGGCGGCUCUCUGGUCUGUAACUGACGCUGAGGCUCGAAAGCGUGGGGAGCAAACAGGAUUAGAUACCCUGGUAGUCCACGCCGUAAACGAUGAGUGCUAAGUGUUGGAGGGUUUCCGCCCUUCAGUGCUGCAGCUAACGCAUUAAGCACUCCGCCUGGGGAGUACGACCGCAAGGUUGAAACUCAAAGGAAUUGACGGGGGCCCGCACAAGCGGUGGAGCAUGUGGUUUAAUUCGAAGCAACGCGAAGAACCUUACCAGGUCUUGACAUCCUUUGACCACUCUAGAGAUAGAGCUUCCCCUUCGGGGGCAAAGUGACAGGUGGUGCAUGGUUGUCGUCAGCUCGUGUCGUGAGAUGUUGGGUUAAGUCCCGCAACGAGCGCAACCCUUAUUGUUAGUUGCCAUCAUUUAGUUGGGCACUCUAGCAAGACUGCCGGUGACAAACCGGAGGAAGGUGGGGAUGACGUCAAAUCAUCAUGCCCCUUAUGACCUGGGCUACACACGUGCUACAAUGGGAAGUACAACGAGUCGCGAAGUCGCGAGGCUAAGCUAAUCUCUUAAAGCUUCUCUCAGUUCGGAUUGUAGGCUGCAACUCGCCUACAUGAAGCCGGAAUCGCUAGUAAUCGCGGAUCAGCACGCCGCGGUGAAUACGUUCCCGGGCCUUGUACACACCGCCCGUCACACCACGAGAGUUUGUAACACCCGAAGUCGGUGAG
rnacentral:rRNA from 1 species